ACGGGGAGGCCCAGCGUGGCGAAGAGACAGGAACUGCCCCACCCGGCUCGAAGCUCGGCAUCAAAAGGGCAGCGGCAGCAGCAGUGCUGAAUCGCCCGCGCGACAGAAGGAAAUGCGUCUGCGUCUGCCGCUCUGCUGUCCAAUGGGAGAAGCGGAGUGGGCGGAGCGGCGCGGCGAGGUGCCGCCUGCCGGGCCUCCGCUCCCUGCCGCACAAGGGACGGGACCGUAGAGGGAAGGGGCAGCCGCCUCCUCUCCUCCUUGUUAGCGCGCAGCGCAGGUGGCGGCGGCGGCACUAUGGCGGCCGAGGAUGGUGACGGCGAAGGGGUCCGAGUGCUCCAGAACCUGCGGGGGAAGAUCUGUGAAGCCAAAAAUUUAGUGCCAUACUCUGGACCCAACAAAAUGAGAGACUGUUUCUGUACCAUAAACUUGGACCAAGAAGAAGUUUUUCGUACACAGGUGGUUGAAAAGUCUUUAAGUCCUUUCUUUGGUGAAGAGUUUUACUUUGAGAUUCCAAGAACAUUCCAGUGUUUGUCCUUCUAUAUUUAUGAUAAGAGCGUUUUACAAAGAGACCUGCGUAUAGGAAAGGUAGCAAUCAAAAAAGAGGACUUAUGCAAAUAUACCAGCAAAGAGACAUGGUUUUUGCUUCAGCCUGUUGAUUCUAAUUCAGAGGUCCAGGGAAAAGUUCACCUUGAAUUAAAACUGAAUGAACUGAUAACAGAUAAUGGAUCUGUGUGCCAGCAACUAGUAGUACACAUAAAGGAAUGCCAUGGGUUGCCUCUUGUAAAUGGACAGAAUUGUGAUCCUUAUGCAACGGUGUCUCUUAUGGGUCCUUCUAGGAAUGACCAAAAGAAGACAAAAGUAAAGAAGAAAACAAGCAAUCCACAGUUUAAUGAAACAUUUUAUUUUGAGGUAACCAGGUCCAGUAGUUAUACCAAAAAGUCCCAGUUUCAGGUAGAAGAAGAGGACAUAGAGAAGCUGGAAGUCAGGAUUGAUCUAUGGAACAAUGGAAACCUGGUGCAAGAUGUCUUCCUAGGAGAAAUUAAGGUUCCAGUGAAAGUGUUAGGAAAUGAUUCCUUCCAAGCAUGGUACUUACUACAACCAAGAGAAAAUGGAAACAAAUCCUCUAAAACUGAUGAUCUGGGAUCACUUAGACUAAAUGUUUGUUAUACUGAAGACUAUGUACUUCCAUCUGAGUACUAUGCUUCUUUAAGAAAUUUGCUGCUAAAAUCACCAGAUGUUCAGCCAGUCUCUGCUUCUGCUGCCUACAUUCUGGGUGAAGUGUGUCGAGAUAAAUAUGAUGCUGUUUUGCCUCUUGUAAGACUAUUGCUGCACCAUCAAAAGAUAGUACCAUUUGUUACUGCAGUGGCCGAACUAGACUUGAAAGACACUCAAGAAGUAAACACAAUCUUCAGAGGAAACACCUUAGCUACUCGAUGUCUAGAUGAGAUGAUGAAAAUAGUGGGAAAGCACUACCUAAAAGUUACUUUAAAGCCAGUCCUAGAUGAGAUAUGCGAGUCCCCUAAACCCUGUGAAAUUGAUCCCAUCAAAUUAAAAGAAGGCGAUAAUGUAGAAGUUCACAAGGAAAAUCUACGUUACUAUGUCGAUAAAGUAUUUAAUACAAUUGUACAGUCAAGUAUAAGUUGCCCUACCUUAAUGUGUGAUGUGUUUUACUCUUUGAGACACCUGGCUGCCAAAAGAUUUCCAAAUGACCCUCAUGUACAGUAUUCUGCAGUGAGCAGCUUUGUGUUUCUUCGUUUCUUUGCUGUCGCUGUAGUCUCACCUCAUACUUUUCAUUUACGACCUCAUCAUCCAGAUGCACAAACUUCUAGAACGUUAACUCUUAUAUCAAAAACCAUCCAAACUUUGGGGAGCUGGGGAAGUUUGUCCAAAAGCAAGCUUUCAAGUUUCAAGGAGACAUUUAUGUGUGAAUUUUUCAAAAUGUUUCAAGAAGAAAAGUUUACAGAAGCUGUUCAAAAGUUUUUAGAUGAAGUGUCAUCUACUGAAAGUAAAGAGCCCAGUGGCAUGAGUGAACCAGUACAUCUAAAAGAAGGUGAAAUGUAUAAAAGAGCUCAGGGAAGAACUCGGAUUGGAAAAAAGAAUUUCAAGAAACGAUGGUUCUGCCUAACAAGCAGAGAGCUCACUUAUCACAAACAACGAGACAAAGAACCAAUUUACAACAUUCCAAUCAAAAACAUCCUCACUGUGGAGAAGCUUGAGGAGAGCGCCUUCAAUAGGAAAAAUAUGUUUCAAGUGAUUUAUGGAGAGAAGCCACUCUAUAUCCAGGCAAAUAACUGUGUGGAAGCUAGUGAGUGGAUAGAAGCUCUCUGCAGGGUAAGCAGGUGUAACCAGAAGAGACUGAGUGUUUAUCAUCCCUCUGCUUUUCUGAAUGGGAACUGGCUUUGCUGCAAGGCCACCACUGAGAAUACAAAGGGCUGCACUCCAUGCACUGCAGGUGUUCCUGCUGAUAUUCAAAUUGAGAUUGAUGGGGAUAGAGAAACCGAAAGAAUUUACUCACUUUUUGCUAUCAACAUGCCUAAACUACAAAAGAUGGAAGAGGCUUGUGGAAGUAUUGCAGUCUAUCAAGGUCCACAGAAAGAACUAGACGACUAUUCUAAUUUCACAAUUGAGGACUCUGUAGCAACUUUUCAAACUCUUCAACAAAUAAUAGCCAUAGUAGAAAAGCUGAAUGAGCCUCAUGAAAAAUAUCGGAAGAAAAGAUCAUCAAGUGCUAAAUACGGCAGUGAGAAUAAGCUUUCUAAAGGAGGAAAAUCAACACCAAUUAUUUACUGGAUUACACCUCUCAAUAUACUGGACUCACAUUUAAUCCACCAUCCGUGCCUGCUGUGCCGAAAGUCUUGCAGUGGAAAUCCCAACAUAUGAUGACUCAAUAGGAUCUGAACCUUCACAUUCAGUGCACGACUUCUUUCUCUUCCUUUGUCAAACUAUUAAUUUUAUCAGGACUCCAAGAUUAGCAACACUUUUUGGAAGCUAUCUUUCCUGCAAAUGAGAAGAAUGCAAAUGUGACAAUGCUGUGGUUGGAUACUGUUCACUUUACAUCUUUGCAUCUAAGAUUUUUUUGAAAAUAAAAAAUUGGCACAUUUAGGUCCAGCUCACCUCUCAUUACAGCUAUAUUAAAUAAUCUCUCUAGAAUAAUCACUCCAAGCACUUUAGAUAUCUGGACUGCGCCAGAUUAUAUUUUUAGAUACUUUGUAGUAUCUAAUCUUUAUGAUCAGUUGAAUGAUCAGUGCUGUUAUGUGUUUAAAACAAUGCUUUAUGACCAUUUUUAAUUUCUAGUUAUGUGGGUGGGGUUAUUUGUCAGAUCAAACAAAUUUGAACUGGCAUUCUUGACUUUAGAAAGUUUUGAUUCUUGCUCUCUUCCUCUGAGAAUUAGUUUUUUGUGCUGAAAACCAUAUCUGUACAUAAUCAGUAGAAGCAAGGUAACACUUCGGAGAAGAGAAGGCUAAACUUUCCUUCACCAGUAUUAAAUAUUAUGGUAUACAUGGUAAAGUACCAGUAAAAUAAAAUACACUGUGUACAGGUAGUACUUCAUUUUUGUAACAUUUGCUGUUUUUUAGAAUCAUGAUUUGCCCCAGUCAGAGUUGAGAAUGUAAUUCAUCAGUACAAAUAUAGAUCCACAAUGUUUACAAAACUAUAAGCUGUUUAAAAUACUAUUGUAGGAUGCCUUCUUCUCCGAAAAUCCAGACUAGUCAGUACCACAGGAUUGAAAUCACUGUUGAAAUUAAGGUAACUUUUCUAUUAGAACAAUCACUUUUUAAUAUUAAAGCAACUGAUUGAAAUCACUUAGGAUUUGAUACCAAUAUCUUCAACAUCACAAUCAUUUAUUACUACUUGCCAUUUUACCAACAAGUAUAGUCCUUUUUGUUUUUGCAUUCCUUUAAGAAUAUAUCCAAUAGUAAAGUAAUUUUACUUGCCCUAAAUUUCAGUUAGAAAAAAAUAAAUUUAUUGACACCCAGCAAUGUAUUCUGUCAAGGUCAAUUUGACCUAGUUUAUUUGCCAAAGAAACAAGGUUUGCCAGAUUUGAACAGCACUAAUAAGUGUUAGAAUUAAGUUUUGCUAUUUAUUGUGACCAGUCUUAUUACAAAAUGUGCUUGUGUGUCUGUUUCUUGAAACCUGUUUCUGUCACUUAACAGCAAAGUUACAUGUAUAACAAGUUUAAAUCUUAUAUUAUUGUAAGGGGGGGGGGAAAUUUUGAAAAUGCACUUUUCAUUUGCUUUGAUGGUACUAGACUAUAUAGAAAAGGACAGCUAGGCCUCUAAGACCUGAGGCCUUUAAAAUGUAAUUUGUCAUUUUAUAGUAUGUUUAAAAACGCAGUAGGUACUCUAGAAUUAAAUUAGGUACAAAUAAGAUGAUUAAUAUUAAAGUUGCUUUCACUUUGAUUAGCCUAGACAUUAAAACAUUGCUCAGUAAUUAGUUUUACUUUGACUGUAAAUUCUUUUUAAUGUAGUUUUAAUUUGUAUAAGGAUGAUGUAUUGUUGAAAAUGUAUUUUUAUUUAAAUUUAUUUUCUUAUAAAAUAUUAAAAACUUUUGUAACAUUGCUUGAGAACAACUCACAAAUAAAUGAUGACAAAUUGA